rnacentral:rRNA from 1 species
AGGUAAGCUACUAAGAGCGAAUGGUGGAUGCCUUGACUGGUAAAGGCGAUGAAGGACGUACUAGACUGCGAUAAGCUACGGGGAGCUGUCAAGAAGCUUUGAUCCGUAGAUUUCCGAAUGGGGCAACCCAAUGUAUAGAGAUAUACAUUACCUAUAUAGGAGCGAACGAGGGGAAUUGAAACAUCUUAGUACCCUCAGGAAAAGAAAUCAAUAGAGAUUGCGUCAGUAGCGGCGAGCGAAAGCGCAAGAGGGCAAACCCAGUGCUUGCACUGGGGGUUGUAGGACUGCAAUGUGCAAGAGGUAAGUUUAGCAGAACAUUCUGGAAAGUAUAACCAUAGAGGGUGAUAGUCCCGUAUGCGAAAAACAAACCUUAGCUAGCAGUAUCCUGAGUAGGGCGGGACACGAGGAAUCCUGUCUGAAUCUGGGUCGACCACGAUCCAACCCUAAAUACUAAUACCAGAUCGAUAGUGCACAAGUACCGUGAGGGAAAGGUGAAAAGAACUGAGGUGAUCAGAGUGAAAUAGAACCUGAAACCAUUUGCUUACAAUCAUUCAGAGCCCUAUGUAGCAAUACAGGGUGAUGGACUGCCUUUUGCAUAAUGAGCCUGCGAGUUGUGGUGUCUGGCAAGGUUAAGCAAACGCGAAGCCGUAGCGAAAGCGAGUCUGAAUAGGGCGCUUAGUCAGAUGCUGCAGACCCGAAACGAAGUGAUCUAUCCAUGAGCAAGUUGAAGCUAGUGUAAGAACUAGUGGAGGACUGAACCCAUAGGCGUUGAAAAGCCCCGGGAUGACUUGUGGAUAGGGGUGAAAGGCCAAUCAAACUUCGUGAUAGCUGGUUCUCUCCGAAAUAUAUUUAGGUAUAGCGUUGUGUCGUAAUAUAAGGGGGUAGAGCACUGAAUGGGCUAGGGCAUACACCAAUGUACCAAACCCUAUCAAACUCCGAAUACCUUAUAUGUAAUCACAGCAGUCAGGCGGCGAGUGAUAAAAUCCGUCGUCAAGAGGGAAACAACCCAGACUACCAGCUAAGGUCCCUAAAUCUUACUUAAGUGGAAAACGAUGUGAAGUUACUUAAACAACCAGGAGGUUGGCUUAGAAGCAGCCAUCCUUUAAAGAAAGCGUAAUAGCUCACUGGUCUAGUGAUUUUGCGCGGAAAAUAUAACGGGGCUAAAGUAAGUACCGAAGCUGUAGACUUAGUUUACUAAGUGGUAGGAGAGCGUUCUAUUUGCGUCGAAGGUAUACCGGUAAGGAGUGCUGGAGCGAAUAGAAGUGAGCAUGCAGGCAUGAGUAGCGAUAAUUAAUGUGAGAAUCAUUAACGCCGUAAACCCAAGGUUUCCUACGCGAUGCUCGUCAUCGUAGGGUUAGUCGGGUCCUAAGUCGAGUCCGAAAGGGGUAGACGAUGGCAAAUUGGUUAAUAUUCCAAUACCAACAUUAGUGUGCGAUGGAAGGACGCUUAGGGCUAAGGGGGCUAGCGGAUGGAAGUGCUAGUCUAAGGUCGUAGGAGGUUGUACAGGCAAAUCCGUAUAACAAUACUCCGAGAACUGAAAGGCUUUUUGAAGUCUUCGGAUGGAUAGAAGAACCCCUGAUGCCGUCGAGCCAAGAAAAGUUUCUAAGUUUAGCUAAUGUUGCCCGUACCGUAAACCGACACAGGUGGGUGGGAUGAGUAUUCUAAGGCGCGUGGAAGAACUCUCUUUAAGGAACUCUGCAAAAUAGCACCGUAUCUUCGGUAUAAGGUGUGGUUAGCUUUGUAUUAGGAUUU